CCUACGGGGGGCUGCAGUGGGGAAUUUUGGACAAUGGGGGCAACCCUGAUCCAGCCAUGCCGCGUGAGUGAAGAAGGCCUUCGGGUUGUAAAGCUCUUUCAGCCGGGAAGAAAACGCAUGGGUUAAUACCCUGUGUGGAUGACGGUACCGGAAUAAGAAGCACCGGCUAACUACGUGCCAGCAGCCGCGGUAAUACGUAGGGUGCGAGCGUUAAUCGGAAUUGCGGGGCGUAAAGUGUGCGACAGCGGUUAAAUCCCCGGGCUCAACCUGGGAACUGCGUUUGUGACUGCAAGGCUAGAGUAUGGCAGAGGGGGGUGGAAUUCCACGUGUAGCAGUGAAAUGCGUAGAGAUGUGGAGGAACACCGAUGGCGAAGGCAGCCCCCUGGGCCAAUACUGACGCUCAUGCACGAAAGCGUGGGUAGCAAACAGGAUUAGAUACCCCAGUAGUC
rnacentral:rRNA from 1 species